CACCUCGGUGCUGGGGCACUGCACCGGCCAGCUGGUGACCGGCUCCCGGGGCACCCGUCCCCCCAGCGAGUUCGACGCCCGGGAGGUGU
rnacentral:tRNA from 1 species